UGAUGGUAAUCUACCUAUUUAUA
rnacentral:snRNA from 1 species